AUUGAACGCUGGCGGCAUGCCUUACACAUGCAAGUCGAACGGUAACAGGUCUUCGGAUGCUGACGAGUGGCGAACGGGUGAGUAAUACAUCGGAACGUGCCUAGUAGUGGGGGAUAACUACUCGAAAGAGUGGCUAAUACCGCAUGAGAUCUACGGAUGAAAGCAGGGGAUCGCAAGACCUUGUGCUACUAGAGCGGCCGAUGGCAGAUUAGGUAGUUGGUGGGAUAAAAGCUUACCAAGCCGACGAUCUGUAGCUGGUCUGAGAGGACGAUCAGCCACACUGGGACUGAGACACGGCCCAGACCCCUACGGGAGGCAGCAGUGGGGAAUUUUGGACAAUGGGCGAAAGCCUGAUUCAGCAAUGCCGCGUGCAGGAUGAAGGCCUUCGGGUUGUAAACUGCUUUUGUACGGAACGAAAAGCCCCGGGUUAAUACCCUGGGGUCAUGACGGUACCGUAAGAAUAAGCACCGGCUAACUACGUGCCAGCCGCCGCAGUAA
rnacentral:rRNA from 1 species